AAUAAGCCCUUGAAUGGUGAAUCUGCGAAUGGCUCAUUAAAUCAGUUAUUGUUUAUUUGAUGGUACCUUACUACUUGGAUAACCGUAGUAAUUCUAGAGCUAAUACAUGCGUCAAGCCCCGACUCACGAAGGGGUGCAUUUAUUAGAUUCAAACCAUCGGCUUUCGGGUCUUUGAUGGUGAGUCAUAAUAACUGAGCGAAUCGAAUGGCCUUGCGCCGUCGAUGCUUCAUUCAAAUUUCUGCCCUAUCAGCUUUCGAUGGUAGGAUCUUGGCCUACCAUGGCUAUAACGGGUAACGGGGAAUUAGGGUUCGAUUCCGGAGAGGGAGCUUGAGAAACGGCUACCACAUCCAAGGAUGGCAGCAGGCGCGCAAAUUACCCAAUCCCGACACGGGGAGGUAGUGACAAUAAAUAACGAUGCUGGAUUAUUUUUAAUCCGGCAAUUGGAAUGAGAGUAAUUUAAAUCAAUACUCGAGGAACCAUUGGAGGGCAAGUCUGGUGCCAGCAGCCGCGGUAAUUCCAGCUCCAAUAGCGUAUAUUAAAGUUGUUGCAGUUAAAAAGCUCGUAGUCUGAGUCUUGGUCGACAUUGAGCGUCCGCGGCCUUACGGUCACGUGCAUGCGAUAUGUUGGCCAUGUACUUCGGAGGAACAUGGGUGCUUUAACUAAGUGCUCAUGGGAUUCCGAUAG
rnacentral:rRNA from 1 species